rnacentral:rRNA from 2 species
GGUUAAGCGACUAAGCGUACACGGUGGAUGCCCUGGCAGUCAGAGGCGAUGAAGGACGUGCUAAUCUGCGAAAAGCGUCGGUAAGGUGAUAUGAACCGUUAUAACCGGCGAUGUCCGAAUGGGGAAACCCAGUGCAAUUCGUUGCACUAUCGUUAACUGAAUACAUAGGUUAACGAGGCGAACCGGGGGAACUGAAACAUCUAAGUACCCCGAGGAAAAGAAAUCAACCGAGAUUCCCCCAGUAGCGGCGAGCGAACGGGGAGCAGCCCAGAGUCUGAAUCAGCUUGUGUGUUAGUGGAACGGUCUGGAAAGUCCGACGGUACAGGGUGAUAGUCCCGUACACCAAAAUGCACAGGUUGUGAACUCGAAGAGUAGGGCGGGACACGUGGUAUCCUGUCUGAAUAUGGGGGGACCAUCCUCCAAGGCUAAAUACUCCUGACUGACCGAUAGUGAACCAGUACCGUGAGGGAAAGGCGAAAAGAACCCCGGCGAGGGGAGUGAAAAAGAACCUGAAACCGUGUACGUACAAGCAGUGGGAGCACCUUCGGGUGUGACUGCGUACCUUUUGUAUAAUGGGUCAGCGACUUAUAUUCUGUAGCAAGGUUAACCGUAUAGGGGAGCCGCAGGGAAACCGAGUCUUAACUGGGCGUUAAGUUGCAGGGUAUAGACCCGAAACCCGGUGAUCUAGCCAUGGGCAGGUUGAAGGUUGGGUAACACUAACUGGAGGACCGAACCGACUAAUGUUGAAAAAUUAGCGGAUGACUUGUGGCUGGGGGUGAAAGGCCAAUCAAACCGGGAGAUAGCUGGUUCUCCCCGAAAGCUAUUUAGGUAGCGCCUCGUGAACUCAUCUUCGGGGGUAGAGCACUGUUUCGGCUAGGGGGUCAUCCCGACUUACCAACCCGAUGCAAACUACGAAUACCGAAGAAUGUUAUCACGGGAGACACACGGCGGGUGCUAACGUCCGUCGUGAAGAGGGAAACAACCCAGACCGCCAGCUAAGGUCCCAAAGUCAUGGUUAAGUGGGAAACGAUGUGGGAAGGCACAGACAGCCAGGAUGUUGGCUUAGAAGCAGCCAUCAUUUAAAGAAAGCGUAAUAGCUCACUGGUCGAGUCGGCCUGCGCGGAAGAUGUAACGGGGCUAAACCAUGCACCGAAGCUGCGGCAGCGACACUAUGUGUUGUUGGGUAGGGGAGCGUUCUGUAAGCCUGCGAAGGUGACCUGUGAGGGUUGCUGGAGGUAUCAGAAGUGCGAAUGCUGACAUAAGUAACGAUAAAGCGGGUGAAAAGCCCGCUCGCCGGAAGACCAAGGGUUCCUGUCCAACGUUAAUCGGGGCAGGGUGAGUCGACCCCUAAGGCGAGGCCGAAAGGCGUAGUCGAUGGGAAACAGGUUAAUAUUCCUGUACUUGGUGUUACUGCGAAGGGGGGACGGAGAAGGCUAUGUUAGCCGGGCGACGGUUGUCCCGGUUUAAGCAUGUAGGCUGGUUGUCCAGGCAAAUCCGGAUAAUCAAGGCUGAGGUGUGAUGACGAGGCACUACGGUGCUGAAGUAACAAAUGCCCUGCUUCCAGGAAAAGCCUCUAAGCAUCAGGUAACAUCAAAUCGUACCCCAAACCGACACAGGUGGUCAGGUAGAGAAUACCAAGGCGCUUGAGAGAACUCGGGUGAAGGAACUAGGCAAAAUGGUGCCGUAACUUCGGGAGAAGGCACGCUGGUGUGUAGGUGAAGUCCCUGCGGAUGGAGCUGAGACCAGUCGAAGAUACCAGCUGGCUGCAACUGUUUAUUAAAAACACAGCACUGUGCAAACACGAAAGUGGACGUAUACGGUGUGACGCCUGCCCGGUGCCGGAAGGUUAAUUGAUGGGGUUAUCCGUAAGGAGAAGCUCUUGAUCGAAGCCCCGGUAAACGGCGGCCGUAACUAUAACGGUCCUAAGGUAGCGAAAUUCCUUGUCGGGUAAGUUCCGACCUGCACGAAUGGCGUAAUGAUGGCCAGGCUGUCUCCACCCGAGACUCAGUGAAAUUGAACUCGCUGUGAAGAUGCAGUGUACCCGCGGCAAGACGGAAAGACCCCGUGAACCUUUACUAUAGCUUGACACUGAACAUUGAGCCUUGAUGUGUAGGAUAGGUGGGAGGCUUUGAAGCGUGGACGCCAGUCUGCGUGGAGCCAACCUUGAAAUACCACCCUUUAAUGUUUGAUGUUCUAACGUUGGCCCCUUACCGGGGUUGCGGACAGUGUCUGGUGGGUAGUUUGACUGGGGCGGUCUCCUCCCAAAGCGUAACGGAGGAGCACGAAGGUUAGCUAAUCCUGGUCGGACAUCAGGAGGUUAGUGCAAUGGCAUAAGCUAGCUUGACUGCGAGCGUGACGGCGCGAGCAGGUGCGAAAGCAGGUCAUAGUGAUCCGGUGGUUCUGAAUGGAAGGGCCAUCGCUCAACGGAUAAAAGGUACUCCGGGGAUAACAGGCUGAUACCGCCCAAGAGUUCAUAUCGACGGCGGUGUUUGGCACCUCGAUGUCGGCUCAUCACAUCCUGGGGCUGAAGUAGGUCCCAAGGGUAUGGCUGUUCGCCAUUUAAAGUGGUACGCGAGCUGGGUUUAGAACGUCGUGAGACAGUUCGGUCCCUAUCUGCCGUGGGCGCUGGAGAAUUGAGGGGGGCUGCUCCUAGUACGAGAGGACCGGAGUGGACGCAUCACUGGUGUUCGGGUUGUCAUGCCAAUGGCACUGCCCGGUAGCUAAAUGCGGAAGAGAUAAGUGCUGAAAGCAUCUAAGCACGAAACUUGCCCCGAGAUGAGUUCUCCCUGAGACUAUAAGUCUCCUGAAGGAACGUUGAAGACGACGACGUUGAUAGGCCGGGUGUGUAAGCGCAGCGAUGCGUUGAGCUAACCGGUACUAAUGAACCGUGAGGCUUAACCUU